CCUACGGGUGGCUGCAGUGGGGAAUUUUGGACAAUGGACGAAAGUCUGAUCCAGCGACGCCGCGUGAAGGACGAAGGUUUUCGGAUCGUAAACUUCUUUUGCAGGGGACGAAUACGCGCAAGCGUUUGACGGUACUCUGCGAAUAAGCCACGGCUAACUACGUGCCAGCAGCCGCGGUAAUACGUAGGUGGCGAGCGUUACUCGGAAUUACUAGGCGUAAAGCGUGUAGAGGGGAGGGGUUAAGCGCUGUUAAAUCUCACAGCUCAACUGUGAAAUGUCGGCGAAUACUGGCUUUCUUGAAUUCGGUAGAGGUAACUGGAAUUCCAGGUGUAGCGGUGAAAUGCGUAGAUAUCUGGAAGAACGCCAAAGGCGAAGGCAGGUUACUGGGCCGCAAUUGACGCUGAGACGCGAAAGCUAGGGGAGCAAACAGGAUUAGAUACCCUGGUAGUC
rnacentral:rRNA from 1 species